UCCCUCUCUCUCUGCCCCUCCCCCACUCACACAUGCGCUUGCUCGCUCUCAAAAUAAACAUUAAAAAAUAAAAUAAAACCUAGGGAAAGAUCCUGAACACGUCCUACGCAUUCUAGUGGAAAUUAAUAAAGAUGAACACAUUUCACAAAUAUUGUCUGUAGUGUGUGCGUGGUGUCCUCGUUAGUUUACCGUAGUGGAUGCGGCAUGUUGGCUGCUCUCCUCCCUCUAGCCCCGGCUCUGGUUUUCCCACAAGGGUUCAAGUUCUCCCACCACGAACUGUCUUGUCUACCACAGAAGUCGCAGCCUCAGCCCCUGCAAGGGGGGGGGGGGGGGGGGGGGUAGGUUCAGUCUGGAAUGACUGAGGUCAGGGUGGCUCCUGGGCACACAGGGUGAGGACCCUGAAGCAGUCGCGGUGGUGAGACGUGGAAGGAGGUGGGGCACGCUUCACGUGAAGGCAGGGAGGUUCCUCGUCCCUUCCCAGGCGCUGCUGCCCUUCCAUGUGGUCUUCGCCUCCGCCAGCCUGGUCUCGUCACAGAGGCCCGGAGUCCUCGCGGGACUAGGAUCACCCUUCUGCCAAGCGCGAGAGACGCCCUCCACAAAGGGCCUCUAGAAAGUACUGCGCGCCCGCGUGUGCGCAUGCGCGUUAGCGUUGGUGCGCUCGCACUUCCCGCUCUUACUCAAGCUCCCUCACGUGAGACGCCGGUCCAGGUGUCGCGCCGGGCCUCAGUUUGGUGUCAGCUACCAGCCAUUGCUCAGCCAGUCGCUGAGGCUUGUCCUCCUCACACAGUCCAGUCUGUCAUGGUCACUGCCAAGAGUUCUUUCCCAGGCCGGGCAGCGUCUGGGUCCCUCAGCCCUUCCGAAAUGAGGAUUCACUUAAGCUGCCUCCCUGAUUCCAUACUCCGUGCAGGCCAUGUCCUACCCCAGCUUUCAAGCCGUCGUACCUGUACCUCAGAGAGAAAAAAGAGCCAGAGGAGAGAAAAUGUGCCCCACCCUCUCUGAGUCCUCGGUCAGGAAAAGGUUGUUUUCAGAAGGAAAGAAUGAAGAGGAAGAGGAAACAUCCCUUUUUGCUGCAGCUACGACCGGCUUUCGCUCCCAGGGGCGAGGCAGGCUGAUGGCCACUGGGUGCUGUCCAGGGAGCCCCCUGGGUUCUCGGUCCUCCCCCCUCACCAGCGCAAGUGCCCCUGCUAACAAGUCAACA